rnacentral:rRNA from 1 species
UGCGUAGGUGGUUAGGUAAGACCUGUGGGAAAGACCUGGGCUUAACCCAGGAAGGCCGCAGGUGACUGCCUGGCUAGAGGGCGGGAGAGGAGCGCGGAAUUCCCGGUGUAGCGGUGAAAUGCGUAGAGAUCGGGAGGAAGGCCGGUGGCGAAGGCGGCGCUCUGGAACGUUCCUGACACUGAGGCACGAAAGCGUGGGGAGCAAACAGGAUUAGAUACCCUGGUAGUCCACGCCCUAAACGAUGGGUACUAAGUGUCGGCGGGUUACCGCCGGUGCCGCACCUAACGGAGUAAGUACCCCGCCUGGGGAGUACGGCCGCAAGGUUGAA